rnacentral:miRNA from 1 species
CACCUCAUCAACCAGAAGGGAUUCCUUCCGGUUGAUGAGGUUGUUACACCUCAUCAACCAGAAGGAAUCCCUUCUGGUCAAUGAGUUU